AGACACUCGUGGAGGCGUCGGCAGAGCAGGC
rnacentral:piRNA from 1 species